UACGUAGGGGGCAAGCGUUGUUCGGAUUCACUGGGCGUAAAGCGUGCGUAGGCGGUUUGGUAAGUUCGGCGUGAAACCUAUCUGCUUAACAGAUAGACGCCGUCGAAAACUGCCAGGCUAGAGGGUGGGAGAGGAAAGUGGAAUUCCAGGUGUAGCGGUGGAAUGCGCAGAUAUCUGGAAGAACACCAGUGGCGAAGGCGGCUUUCUGGACCAUUCCUGACGCUGAUGCACGAAAGCCAGGGGAGCAAACGGG
rnacentral:rRNA from 1 species